GUGCCAGCCGCCGCGGUAAUACGGAGGGGGUUAGCGUUGUUCGGAAUUACUGGGCGUAAAGCGCACGUAGGCGGAUCAGAAAGUUGGGGGUGAAAUCCCGGGGCUCAACCCCGGAACUGCCUCAUAAACUCCCAGUCUUGAGUUCGAGAGAGGUGAGUGGAACUCCGAGUGUAGAGGUGAAAUUCGUAGAUAUUCGGAAGAACACCAGUGGCGAAGGCGGCUCACUGGCUCGAUACUGACGCUGAGGUGCGAAAGUGUGGGGAGCAAACAGGAUUAGAUACCCGAGUAGUCC
rnacentral:rRNA from 1 species